CCCUUAGAUGUUCUGGGCCGCACGCGUGCUACACUGAGUGGAUCAGCGGGUCAGGUUGCGCGAAAGCGUUUCCUAAUCUUGAAAUCCGCUCGUGAUGGGGAUUGACGGUUGCAAUUUUCUGUCAUGAACGAGGAAUACCUUGUAAGCGCGAGUCAUCAUCCCGCGCUGAAUACGUCCCUGCCCUUUGUACACACCGCCCGUCGCUCCUACCGAUUGAGUGGUCCGGUGAGGCUUUGGGAUCUGAGUGGAAAGAGCGUUUCGCUCGUUCUGCCCGGAAAACUCAGUCGAACCUUAUCAUUUAGAGGAAGGAGAAGUCGUAACA
rnacentral:rRNA from 1 species